rnacentral:rRNA from 1 species
AAAGGUAGCGUAAUCAUUAGUUUUUUAAUUGAAAGCUUGUAUGAAUGGUUGGACGAGGUAAAAACUGUCUUUAUUUAAUUAAGAUUAGAAUUUAACUUUUAAGUGAAAAGGCUUAAAUUUGACUAAUAGACGAGAAGACCCUAUAGAUCUUUAUAAAUUAUUUAUUAAUUAUGUUAAGAUUAUUUAUUGAUUAAUAAUAAAAUUUAUUUUAUUGGGGUAAUAUAAAGAUUCAGUAAAUUCUUUGAAUAUUUAAACAAGGAUAAUUGGUUAAUUGAUCCAUUAUUAUUGAUUAUAAGAUUAAGUUACCUUAGGGAUAACAGCGUAAUUUUUUUAGAGAGUUCAUAUCGAUAAAGAAGU